CCUACGGGAGACAGCAGUGAGGAAUAUUGGUCAAUGGACGAGAGUCUGAACCAGCCAUGUCGCGUGAAGGAUGACUGCCCUAUGGGUUGUAAACUUCUUUUAUAUGGGAAUAAAAUGUUCCACGUGUGGGGUUUUGUAUGUACCCUAUGAAUAAGGAUCGGCUACCUCCGUGCCAGCAUCCGCGGUAAUACGGAGGAUCCGAGCGUUAUCCGGAUUUAUUGGGUUUAAAGGGAGCGUAGGUGGAUUGUUAAGUCACUUGUGAAAGUUCGCGGCUCAACCGUAAAAUUGCAGUUGAAACUGGCAGUCUUGAGUAGGGUAGAGGUGGGCGGAAUUCGUGGUGUAGCGGUGAAAUGCUUAGAUAUCGCGAAGAACUCCGAUUGCGAAGGCAGUUCACUGG
rnacentral:rRNA from 1 species